rnacentral:rRNA from 1 species
AGCGAACGCUGGCGGCAGGCUUAACACAUGCCAGUCGAGCGGGCACUUUCGGGUGUCAGCGGCGGACGGGUGAGUAACGCGUGGGAACGUGCCCUCUGGUUCGGAAUAACCCAGGGAAACUUGAGCUAAUACCGGAUACGCCCUUUUGGGGAAAGGCUUGCUGCCGGAGGAUCGGCCCGCGUCUGAUUAGCUAGUUGGUGAGGUAACGGCUCACCAAGGCGACGAUCAGUAGCUGGUCUGAGAGGAUGAUCAGCCACACUGGGACUGAGACACGGCCCAGACUCCUACGGGAGGCAGCAGUGGGGAAUAUUGGACAAUGGGCGCAAGCCUGAUCCAGCCAUGCCGCGUGAGUGAUGAAGGCCUUAGGGUUGUAAAGCUCUUUUAUCCGGGACGAUAAUGACGGUACCGGAGGAAUAAGCCCCGGCUAACUUCGUG